GAAGUAAAAAGUCGUAACAAGGUCUCCGUUGGUGAACCAGCGGAGGGAUCAUUACCGAGUUUACAACUCCCAAACCCCUGUGAACAUACCACUUGUUGCCUCGGCGGAUCAGCCCGCUCCCGGUAAAACGGGACGGCCCGCCAGAGGACCCCUAAACUCUGUUUCUAUAUGUAACUUCUGAGUAAAACCAUAAAUAAAUCAAAACUUUCAACAACGGAUCUCUUGGUUCUGGCAUCGAUGAAGAACGCAGCAAAAUGCGAUAAGUAAUGUGAAUUGCAGAAUUCAGUGAAUCAUCGAAUCUUUGAACGCACAUUGCGCCCGCCAGUAUUCUGGCGGGCAUGCCUGUUCGAGCGUCAUUUCAACCCUCAAGCCCUCGGGUUUGGUGUUGGGGAUCGGCGAGCCCUUGCGGCAAGCCGGCCCCGAAAUCUAGUGGCGGUCUCGCUGCAGCCUCCAUUGCGUAGUAGUAAAACCCUCGCAACUGGAACGCGGCGCGGCCAAGCCGUUAAACCCCCAACUUCUGAAUGUUGACCUCGGAUCAGGUAGGAAUACCCGCUGAACUUAAGCAUAUCAAUAAGCGGAGGAA
rnacentral:rRNA from 1 species